rnacentral:rRNA from 1 species
GACGAACGCUGGCGGCGUGCUUAACACAUGCAAGUCGAACGGAAAGGCCCUGCUUUUGUGGGGUGCUCGAGUGGCGAACGGGUGAGUAACACGUGAGUAACCUGCCCUUGACUUUGGGAUAACUUCAGGAAACUGGGGCUAAUACCGGAUAGGAGCUCCUGCUGCAUGGUGGGGGUUGGAAAGUUUCGGCGGUUGGGGAUGGACUCGCGGCUUAUCAGCUUGUUGGUGGGGUAGUGGCUUACCAAGGCUUUGACGGGUAGCCGGCCUGUGAGGGUGACCGGCCAAAUUGGGACUGAGAUACGGCCCAGACUCCAACGGGAGGCAGCAGGGGGGAAUAUUGCACAAGGGGCGGAAGCCUGAUGAAGCAAGGCCGCGUGCGGGAUGACGGCCUUCGGGUUGUAAACCGCUUUCGCCUGUGACGAAGCGUGAGUGACGGUAAUGGGUAAAGAAGCACCGGCUAACUACGUG